GGUGGGUGGGUGGCGCGCGCAUCAGGUCUUGGCGAGUGUGGCGGUGACUGUGUUACUGGUGCGCUUCACAACCUGUGCUCUUAUAUCGCCCCCCACAACCACCAAAGUGUUUUCUGUGUGUGCCUCGUGUUCCCCUAAGGCCAUGCCUAACAAGGGAAAUAACAAGAGACGCACUGAUGAUGGAAUACGAGCAUUUCCAAAACCCAAAGGCAGUAUGGCGGACAAGAAGCCCAGCCAAGACCGGUUCAAACAACAGUCUAAGGAGAAGGAACAGAAAGACCAAAAGGAGGAGAAACCCAAGGAAAAGGAUAAAAAGUAAUUGGAGAAGAUGUGUUUCAGGGUAUCGGACUACUUCUACACGUCUCACAACAUUAAACUGCAAGUGCGUCUCCUCCACCUUCUCUAAAAUUACCAGUAACUGUCCUUCCCGUCAUCAAGUGCUUCAAGAAGCUUUCCUCUUCGUCAACUAAUGCUUCAAUCAACACUCCAUCAUGGAUCCCUA